UCGUUGAUUUCGUGUUUAGUUGUGAUGUGCUGGGACUUUUGAACUUAAGUAGAUAUUUGAUUGUGUAUUUAAGGUAUAUAUGCUCUUGUACAAGCUAAGAGGAGUUAUUUGACGAAGUGGACUUUGGUUGGUCUAUGGCGUAGAUGAUUUGAACUCCUCGAGUUGUGGUAGAACUUGUUGUGUGGUAAAACGCCGAGGUAAUGUGCGAGAUGAAGUAUGAAGAUGGCCAUUUGGAGUAGACUUUUUGGGAGCCCUUGUAAAGAUCACAUCUGCAUAUGCAUCUAGUUUUUUGUAAAUUUUUGGGGACUUGUACAUGAUACAUGUGUGGCACUUAUGUAUGAAAUUUUGAAGGCUUGUGGAAAACAAGACCAUAUGCUUGUAACUUGAACUGGGUGACUAGUUUUGCUAUUUUAGGGUGUGUUUUUAACUCGAGUCAUGCCAUGUAAUGGGUUUGCAUUUUGUCUUGUAAUUAUGCACAAAGGAAGAGAAUAGUUUUGUGAUAAUUACUAGUUUGAGUUUUGUG